rnacentral:lncRNA from 1 species
CAGACUUGGAACACUCAGGAAUACAGACAGACGUAGGAAUUGCUUAAAAACAAGAAGUUCUCCCACCCUUGUUGGAGCGAAUGCGCGAGUCUGACAGUGAACCUUUUGGGAAAGAGCCAGCAUUGUAACCGUGCUCGGUGACUUCUCUGGCUUUAUAGGGAACAGAUGUGAGGAUAGCAAGGGGCGCACACGUGAAAUGCCUGGCAGGUACCCCUUUGUGGCUCUACUUACUUCUUGCCAUUCCUCUGCCCUCCAAGUGUAGAGGGGACACCGUGGGCCUUGGCAGUCGCGUUCCGACUCCGGUCUGGUGUAUGGGUUGCACUCGGUCUCUCUGGCUAUUUUGUGUGUUCCGAUCUGACAGCCCACAUGCCUCUGCUGUACGCCUCGGCCACAGGACACAGAGCACUAAGAAGACAGAGAACAUUCACAGUCUGGUGAGACAAGUUUGAGAUCUCAUAUUUUCAGCUCAUCCUUGAAAACCUUUCUUCGAUUUGACUGACCUUGAUGGCUCCCUGGAAUCUCACCUACAUUUUAUGGGAAAUUCAACUCUCCAGAGAGAAGAGCUUUCAGAUAGCUGCGGGACUUGCAACUGUGACUUUCAGCUUUCGCUUUUGAAUGAGGCUCCAAAUGUCUCAAUGGUGGCACUAUUUCCAGAUUUGGGACAUUAAGUUUUGCAAAAUUAAAUGACUACAUUUACAGUCAUGGAGGAGAGACAUUGCCUCAACUCGGUUUCUUCUGAUGUGUCUUUGAAACAGAGCCCUGCAAAGCUAAUCUGCUCAACCUUCACCUACUGGGUUCAAUGAAUAUGAAAAGCUGCCUUCCUGAAACUUUUCCUUCAAAGAGGGAAUGAUCUCCUGGAAUUCAAGCUUCUACAAGGUGGCUACCUGGUGUUUUCCACUUUUGCCGUCUCCUAAAAAGCAUCAUUCAAGCCUUGCCCUUUCAACCCACUGAACACAUAAACAUGCUUUCUCCUUAACUGAACUUAUGGCCACGAUGAACUUGAACUCUGAGAUUCACAGAGGAGAGUUUGUUUUAACAGCUGCUUUUACAAUGAAGCCCUGGAGUUACUACUCUCAAGACCCCUGGUUCUGAUAGGCCAUCUUUUCACUGUCCUCUGCAUUUUCUAAUGCCCAGCUGUCAAGGAACACCCACUGAAGUUUUCCAAAACAAAGGCACGAAACACAAGAAAGGCAAGAGAAUGCUAAUCACCAGAUGCAUGGGCAUCCUAUGGGGGAACCCCUUACAUGUGGAAUACGGUUUUUCUCCCCAAUUUAUUUUUAUAAAUUUAUUGAUUUCUUUGCUAGUUUGUUAUUAAUUGUUAGAGAUGUCCUGUUGCCUGAGGUUGCCCUGUCCGAUAUGGUAGCCACCAGCGACAGGUAGCUAUUUAGAGUAAUUUAAAAAUUACAUUAAAAAUGCAGUUUCCUUGUCACUUAACCAUGUUUCAAGUGCUCAGUAUUAACCACAUGUGACUAGUGGCUUCCAUAAAGGAAGGCAAAAAUAGAGAACAUUUACAUCGCUGCAGAAAGCUACUAGAUUUUUUUGGCCAAGGCAUAAGCUCUUUCUCAUAAGAGAAAGGGGAUGCAGAUCUUGCUAAGAGUGAUGGAUUUCUGGGUUCAGCCUACAUGAGUCAUCUUCCAUACUACCCCUGGACAUGCUUUCCUUGGCUGCCAAUUUUCUAUUUUAUAAAUUUCAGGAAAGAGAGAUUAUGGUUGUUAAAACCAUUCAUGACAAUGAUCCCACUUUAGAGAAAACAACAGCAACAAGCAAAGAAGAUGGUGUGGAGAUCCGCACAUUCCACAUCUUUUAAUUGGUACCCAUUAAAUAACAAAGGGAAAAAGUACCCUCAGACCACAACUCUCCACCUUGUGUGGAGGCCAAGGACCCAGCAGGGAGAAGGCAGAAGAUUAGGUUCUCCACUCAUCCUGGCUCUCAGACCACUGAACUCACAUUUGGGUUCUAAUGGAAUGGUGAUUGGAAGCAUAUUCUCCAAUAGGAGGUUUUUAAAAGUUCUGUGCCAUCAGCCAGGCAGCAUCUGUCAUUUAAAAUGACUGGCCAGUUGCACGUUUAAAAGCAAAGAUAAAAUUGCUAAUUUAUACUUACUGAAUAAACAUCAGCAGUAUCCAUGAAGGUACCUACCCUAAUAGCAAGUUGUAUUUUUAUUUUUAUGGUGGUGGCGAAGCUGCCAGGAAAACCAAAGCAUCAGUUCUUUAAUUACAUUUGUUUAGUAUUGAUUUAAUACUAAAAUUUCUCUUGCUCCCUUAGAACAAAGAGCUCUAACUUGUACACUGCUGUAUCCUUAGCACCUGGAACAGUCCCUGGCCUACAAUAGGCACUUAGAAAGUAUUUGUUAAAAAUUGAUUUUUUUUUUUUAAAGAAACAACCCAGAGUUUUUUUAUUCUGCCCCAACCCCCAACCCCUGGCAUUAAAAUAAAUCUUCCUCAACUGCCAUCACUAAUCGCCAGGAUUCCCUCCUAGCCAAUUAUGCUUGGACUCAACCUCUACCUCCCACUCCACAUUCCAAAGUUUCUAUUUCUUUCCAUUCCAGAAGGGCAACUCCACAACAGGAGUGAGGGAGAGGACCUGGACUCCUCCUCAGAGUCCAAUAACACUCCUAACCCUGCUCCCCCAACCUGUGGACUUUUUAAAUCCAUGAAAAUAGAACCUGUCAAGCUACCACAAAAUAGCAUCAGAAGGCAGGAUCAGUCUUUCAUAGGCAUACAAUCUCUGUAAAUACUGAAAAAAGAUUAUUAAAAGCCUGCUAAGUUUUGUCUCCAGUGAAAUAGAUGCAGGCAAGUAUUUUGAUUGUUCUGAACACAUUAGAGAUGAGUGCUACACAGAACUAAGGUAAACUUUGUAAAUUCGUAUGUCAUAACACUUUGUUCCACAAAAAACUAUCUUAUUUUUUAUACUCCAUACUGAUACAGCCAAAUAAUGUGGCUCUUAUUUUCUAAAGAUGCCAGCAAUAUGUUUAAACAUGUCUUCAUUGUAGUAAAAGUAUCAUAUUUAUAAAAAAUACAUAUGCAUUUAAUGUGAUAUUCCUUAUAGUCAAAAUCUUGAUAUCAUCCUGUUAAUCUGGCUAAAAAUGUAUCUGUAAAAUGAAAGAGAGGAAUAUUUUGCCAUUCCCUAAACAACAGUUGUUUGAAGCUUUUGUAAUUGCUGGUUAUGGGAAUUUACCAAUAACAGGAAUGAAUUUGGAUUUUCUUUUGCUGGAAUCAAAUGGACAAUGUCAUAAUUAGCUAAAUAAUGUUGAGGCUAAAUGAAGUUUGAGUUUUAGGCACAUCCUUUAUGGAAUAUAAACAGGAACCUAAAAGUUCAUUCUGAACAUAGGUUGUUUCUUUCUGCCAAAACAAGAUUAAUAGUCAGUACCCUAACGACAAGGUCCUAUCACUGAAGUAGAUUAUCGGCUAGUCAAAUGGGUUCCUAACAGCACCUCCCUCAUGGGUUAAAACAAGAGGGUUAAUGUGAUGUGUAUUUGCUUAAUUUGGCUUGUUAUACAGUAAACACACAGCAAACGUUAGCUAUUGUUAUCUUCAUUUCCUUUGGAGAAGUUAUCUUAUUUCUCACCUUAUUAAAAAUAAACCCUAACUCAUACAGGGACCCUCCUUACCUUGGUCCUUUCACCCAUGAAUACCAUAAUAACCUAUACUGCAAAAAGGAGGCUCAGGAGGAGGAUGAGGUAUCAAUAGGCCUCCGGGUCAUUUUUAUGAUUUAGGUAUUUUUUGAAAAGGGUAGGCUCUCUUGAAACUUCCAAGGUAGUUGUUGUAGUAUUUUAUUUUCCUUUCAUAAGAAAUGCUUUCUGAAAUGUAUUGCAGUGAACAAAUAACAAAAUUGACAAAUGCUGUAAGCCUUUUACAGUUAUCUGAACACACAGAAUAAAGUGUAAUCAAAUUUGUGCACAUUAGGUUUGCUUUUUCCUGUACCUAGCUGUCUCUUAUGUGUUCAGAACCAUUUCUUCCAAUCACCUUUUUUUGUCUUCUGGCUAUAAUUUAUCAUUAUCUACAAAUUCAAUAAAUGGAGCAUGC